rnacentral:rRNA from 1 species
UACGUAGGGGGCAAGCGUUGUCCGGAUUUAUUGGGCGUAAAGAGCGUGUAGGCGGCUAGAUAGGUCCGUUGUGAAAACUCGAGGCUCAACCUCGAGACGUCGAUGGAAACCAUCUGGCUAGAGUCCGGAAGAGGAGAGUGGAAUUCCUGGUGUAGCGGUGAAAUGCGCAGAUAUCAGGAGGAACACCUGUGGCGAAAGCGGCUCACUGGACCAUAACUGACGCUGAUGCACGAAAGCUAGGGGAGCAAACAGG